rnacentral:rRNA from 1 species
UAACAAGGAUUCCCCUAGUAACGGCGAGCGAAGCGGGAAGAGCUCAAAUUUGAAAGCUGGCGCCUUCGGCGUCCGCGUUGUAAUCUCGAGACGUGUUUUCCGUGCGGCGCUAUGGACAAGUCCCUUGGAACAGGGCAUCGUAGAGGGUGAAAAUCCCGUACUUGCCAUGGAUGUACCGUGCUUUGUGAUACACGCUCUAAGAGUCGAGUUGUUUGGGAUUGCAGCUCAAAAUGGGUGGUAGACUCCAUCUAAAGCUAAAUAUCGGGGAGAGACCGAUAGCGAACAAGUACCGUGAGGGAAAGAUGAAAAGCACUUUGGAAAGAGAGUUAAAAGUACGUGAAAUUGUCGAAAGGGAAGCGCUUGAAGUCAGCCAUGCUGCGCGGACUCAGCCCGGCUGAUGCCUGGUGUAUUUCCCAGCAGCAAGCCAGCAUGGAUUUGGGUCGCCGGAGAAGGGCACGAGGAAUGUGGCACUUCGUGUGUGUUAAGCCUCGUGCUGGAUACGGCGAGCUGGAUCCAGGAACGCAGUGUGCCUCUGGCGGGUCUUCGGACACCUUCACACUUAGGAUGCUGGCGUAAU